AAUCUACAGGGCCCGGUGAAAAAUGAGAAUGUAGAGCCCUUUGUUCAAAAAUGAAAAUAGCAGAGCCUUCGGUCAAGCAAGGGGCCCUUCUAAACAUGCCCGUGACAUAUAGUCACACGCCUAUGAAGCUGGGCCUGGCUGGGAACAGCCUUUGGGCUUGAUCUCUGAGCCACAGAAAGGGAGGGCCUCCUUGGUCUCUGAAGCAUCCUAGAGGAGCCCACCCAGGAACUCCCCCAAACCCUUCCCUGGGUUGGGUCAGCUCAGCCUAGCCCAUCGACAGCCCAUGUCCCUCCUUCAGGGCCCAGCGAGAGCAGAUUGAAAAGGAGCGGCUGGAGGAGGAGAAGAAGGCUACAGGGCGCUUACAGCACGCCAACGAGCUCCGGCGCCAGGUGCGGGAGAACCAGCAGAAGCAGGUGCAGGCCCGGAUCGCCACCUUCGAUGAGGGCCGGCGCCUCAAGGAGGAGGCCCAGAAGCGGCAUGAGCGCAUUGAAGACAUCAAGAGGAAAAAGCUCGAGGAACUGAGGGCCAGCGGCCUUCCUGAGAAGUACUGCAUCGAAGCUGAGCGCAAAGCUAACAUCCCAGCCAACACGUCUGUGAACUGAGGGAACCCCUCUGCCCCUCAGGAUGCCUUCAAGGGGGCAGGUUCCUCCCCAGCUCUCGGUGUCCAUAACUGCUGCUAAUAUAGACAGUUCUGAGUUAUAGAUUAAAUCUAUUCUUCUCUAA